UCCUGUGCUGGUACCCGAAUUGCUCUCAGGGAAACGGACACAUUUGUAUUCUGUCACUGCUACCGUGGCCAGAGAGAUCUCCGAGUCCCACAGCUCCAAUUUAGAAAAUCUUGCUGCACAGCGCUUUGAAGAAAAAGUGUUUCUCCAGUGAGAAAAAGCAGUGAUUGUGGGAAUGAAUGGCUGGUGGCACCGUGGGAGGUGGCAUAACUGUGAGUCAGCAUUGUGGUGUGUCUGAUCUCAAGGACCUCACAUGAUGUGCUCUGAGAAGAGGACGCUCCAGGAAGGGCCAUGUCUAAAGGAGACAGACAAGAGCUCUGUGUGGUUUGGAGCAGGGGUGCAGGUGGCCAUGGAGCUACAAACGACUCAUCUCCAGAGGUGCUGCCACAGACUGACUGCCUUCAAAUUCCUACAC